rnacentral:misc_RNA from 1 species
AGCAGGUGGUGCAGCGGCUGG